rnacentral:rRNA from 1 species
GAUGAACGCUGGCGGCGUGCCUAAUACAUGCAAGUCGAGCGAAUGGAUUAAGAGCUUGCUCUUAUGAAGUUAGCGGCGGACGGGUGAGUAACACGUGGGUAACCUGCCCAUAAGACUGGGAUAACUCCGGGAAACCGGGGCUAAUACCGGAUAACAUUUUGAACCGCAUGGUUCGAAAUUGAAAGGCGGCUUCGGCUGUCACUUAUGGAUUGCACCGCGUCGCAUUAGGUAGUUGGUGAGGUAACGGCUCACCAAGGCAACGAUGCGUAGCCGACCUGAGAGGGUGAUCGGCCACACUGGGACUGAGACACGGCCCAGACUCCUACGGGAGGCAGCAGUAGGGAAUCUUCCGCAAUGGACGAAAGUCUGACGGAGCAACGCCGCGUGAGUGAUGAAGGCUUUCGGGUCGUAAAACUCUGUUGUUAGGGAAGAACAAGUGCUAGUUGAAUAAGCUGGCACCUUGACGGUACCUAACCAGAAAGCCACGGCUAACUACGUGCCAGCAGCCGCAGUAA